rnacentral:rRNA from 1 species
CUGUUCAAUUGCCCCUUGCUGCGUCCGCUGUGGGAUCAACUCGGCAGCCUCCAAGAUGUGAGACCUUGCAGCCUCCUCCACAUCUGGCAAGCUUCAAUUCAUGACAAAGUUCGUUCCACUGUGAUCUUGGCGUUGCUCUGGAACAUUUGGAAAAGACGCAAUGCCAAAGUAUUCCGUAAUGACACUCAGGGCCUCCACUGCAUCGCCAGGGCGGCAGCUGACGACCUGAUUCUCUGGUCCAACAGAUGUACAAACGUUCAGAAACAAAAUCUGAUACGUGACUGGGCCACUAUGUUGUUUCAUCUUGCCGCGAGAUUGUAG